UAGAAGACAAUAGAGAACAUCCAAGCUCAGUUUCAGAUUUAUUGGACCCUAUCUGUUUAUUCCAAAUUUCAAAAACCAGUUUGAGAGUCUUCACACUCCUCUCAUUGACAUCUAGUACAAAUUGCUCUUUUUCUAUAAUCUUCUUCUUCUUCUCCAUUUGUUUCAAGCUUUUUCCAUCAUCAAAAUGGCCCCCUUCCUUAUCAAUUAAUGAUGCUACCAAUUUGGAUCUAAUGGCAUCAUUUCACAAUAUCCAUUUAGAGUUUUAAUAAUGGAUACACCCCUUUUGUACAAAUCAUCUUUUUCAUUCCAUACUUCAUAUAUAUAUAUUGAUAAUGUGAAUAGAUAAAUGUCAUUCAGAGAGAUAAAUCAGAAGGAAAAAAGCUUUCUGCAGCACAUGGGCAUCAUUUCUUCAGCCACCAUUAUUGAACUUGGUUGCUUUAAGGCUUGAAUGAGAACUUUUUGAUAAGGUGGCUACAUUAUUUGAUACACUAAUGCCAGGGACAAAAGUCAACAAUGUUUCUCAAUAUCCUUGUAUCAAGAUCAUUAGAAUGUCUGGAAACCAUUGAUAACGUAAACUCUAAGCAUUAAAAAAGAGAUUAAAAGGUUUGGUCCCAUCUUGGCUAUGAACUGAUAUGUGCAUUAGAUUUGAGGGAAGCAAUAGCUACUAAUCAUCACGAGAUGAUGGCAUUUUUUUGUCAACAUUAUCUGUAAGAAUAUAACUUGUCUUUUGUUUCUCAUAUGAGGUUCUGUAAGUUCUGUAAGUCUUCCCAAAGGACUAAAGAUGCAACUGCACAAAGCUCCAAGAAACAUUUCCACUAGGAAAAUACCUUCAAAGAAGCACUUGAUGCCGAGGCAAAUAAUUCCGAGGAAUGUAAAAAUUAAUAUAAUGUAAUAAGACAGCAUUGUUCUGCUUCUGAGGUCACAUUCAACUCUUCAGUCAUCACGUUUUGUUUGUUGAUAAGUCUCAUUCAACCCCUUUGCCUAUCAGACUGGCAACGCUGUCACGGAUUGAGAAAUGAAAAUGAUGUUGUGUUUAGCCAAACAAACCAGAAGAAUGAGGUGUUUUCGAGCAAAUGAAUAAUAUGUCACUUGAAGUAUCAUUUUCUA